AUGGACUGCUGGGAGGUGUUGGUGGAUGAGUGGUGCUCUCCCCAAUGGCGCGUCGCCCAAAACAUAGCAAAGGAGAAGCUUUUCAAAAUGAAAGGUGUGCCACACCAUCUAGGCAGCGUCGACCUACAUGGGUACGGGAAAAACUGGUCAAAACGCAAUAAGGCUCCAGUGCCAGAGCUGUUCGACCUCUAUGGCACGUCCAAUAUUGCAACGUACAAGAAGGCCAAGGCAUUCUCUGAGUCUGACCUCAAAAAUGCAAAGAACUUCAGCAACGAGGCCUCCCACCACAAGAUGGUGCAGUACGUUAAGCAGGGGAAGGCGAGGAAAGGGCCGGACUUCAACCCGAGCCGGCCUCUUGAUCCAGAGCUGGUGAUGAUAUCUGGUGGCGGGAGGUCCCAUGGCUUGUUAGCCAUUGGUAAUGGACUGAUACGUUGUAGUAGCACUCUCCCGCAGAUCAAGAAGCGCCAGACCAGCUCUGAUCCUGAGAUACCGCCUCGUUUACGACCAGUGGAAAUUGAAUUCCGGGCUGCUAUUGAGGCAGAGAGAGUGAAGACCAAGGCUACUUUUGAGGAGAGGGACCGGCAGUUGGCGGAGAGGGACUGGCAGGCGGUGGACAGGGACAUGGAGAAUGAGGAGAGGACGGCUAGGCUGUUGGAGGAGGAGAGGAACCGGAACGACUCGGCUAACCGGGCCAUGUACGAGCUCUUCAUGAACGGCCAGACCCCUCCGCCGAUGCCAGCCAUUGCUCCGGCGGGCACGCGUAACUCCCGACAAGCAUCGACCGAUCCUUCUCCGUCUGCCACUGGCGCGACCGGUCCUACACCUACACCUACACCUACACCUCCGUGA
rnacentral:rRNA from 1 species